UCCGGUUGAUCCUGCCAGAGGUUACUGCUAUCGAGGUUCGACUAAGCCAUGCGAGUCGAAUGUAGCAAUACAUGGCGUACUGCUCAGUAACACGUGGACAACCUGCCCUUAGGUUGGGUAUAAACCCGGGAAACUGGGUAUAAUCCCCUAUAAGUCUCGGCUGCUGGAAUGCACCGAGAUUAAAAGCUCCGGCGCCUAAGGAUGGGUCUGCGGCCUAUCAGGUAGUAGUGGGUGUAGCGUACCUACUAGCCUACGACGGGUACGGGUUGUGAGAGCAAGAGCCCGGAGAUGGAUUCUGAGACACGAAUCCAGGCCCUACGGGGUGCAGCAGGCGCGAAAACUUUACAAUGCUGGCAACAGCGAUAAGGGAACCUCGAGUGCCAGGUUACAAAUCUGGCUGUCGAGAUGCCUAAAAAGCAUUUCAUAGCAAGGGCCGGGCAAGACCGGUGCCAGCCGCCGCGGUAACACCGGCGGCUCGAGUGGUAACCGUUAUUAUUGGGUCUAAAGGGUCUGUAGCCGGCCGGAUAAGUCUCUUGAGAAAUCUGGCAGCUUAACUGUCAGGCUUUCAGGAGAUACUGUCUGGCUCGAGGCCGGGAGAGGUGAGAGGUACUUCAGGGGUAGGGGUGAAAUCUUGUAAUCCUUGAAGGACCACCAGUGGCGAAGGCGUCUCACCAGAACGGACCUGACGGCAAGGGACGAAAGCUAGGGGCACGAACCGGAUUAGAUACCCGGGUAGUCCUAGCCGUAAACGAUACUCGCUAGGUGUCGGCCACGGUGCGACCGUUGUCGGUGCCGUAGGGAAGCCGUGAAGCGAGCCACCUGGGAAGUACGGCCGCAAGGCUGAAACUUAAAGGAAUUGGCGGGGGAGCACCACAACGGGUGGAGCUUGCGGUUUAAUUGGAUUCAACGCCGGAAAUCUUACCGGGACCGACAGCAAUAUGAAGGCCAGGCUGAAGACUUUGCCGGAUUAGCUGAGAGGUGGUGCAUGGCCGUCGUCAGUUCGUACUGUGAAGCAUCCUGUUAAGUCAGGUAACGAGCGAGACCC
rnacentral:rRNA from 1 species